rnacentral:rRNA from 1 species
AGAGUUUGAUUAUGGCUCAGGAUGAACGCUAGCGAUAGGCCUAACACAUGCAAGUCGAGGGGCAGCACAUGAAGUAGCAAUACGGAUGGUGGCGACCGACGCACGGGUGAGUAAUGCGUAUGCAACCUGCCUACAACAGGGGAAUAACCCGUUGAAAGACGGACUAAUACCCCAUAACACAGGGAUCCCGCAUGGGAAUAUUUGUUAAAGAUUUAUCGGUUGUAGAUGGGCAUGCGUUCCAUUAGCUUGUUGGUGAGGUAACGGCUCACCAAGGCAACGAUGGAUAGGGGAACUGAGAGGUUUAUCCCCCACACUGGUACUGAGACACGGACCAGACUCCUACGGGAGGCAGCAGUGAGGAAUAUUGGUCAAUGGACGCAAGUCUGAACCAGCCACGUCGCGUGAAGGAAGACGGCCCUACGGGUUGUAAACUUCUUUUGUAAGGGAAUAAAGUGUAGUACGUGUACUAUUUUGCAUGUACCUUACGAAUAAGGAUCGGCUAACUCCGUGCCAGCAGCCGCGGUAAUACGGAGGAUCCGAGCGUUAUCCGGAUUUAUUGGGUUUAAAGGGUGCGCAGGCGGGAGAUUAAGUCGGCGGUGAAAUUUUGCAGCUCAACUGUAAAAGUGCCUUCGAAACUGGUUUCCUUGAGUGUGGAUGAAGUAGGCGGAAUUUGUGGUGUAGCGGUGAAAUGCAUAGAUAUCACGAGGAACUCCGAUUGCGCAGGCAGCUUACUAAACCAUAACUGACGCUCAGGCACGAAGGCGUGG